UACGUAGGGUGCAAGCGUUGUCCGGAAUCAUUGGGCGUAAAGCGCGCGUAGGUGGCCAUUUAAAUCCGCUGUGAAAGUCAAAGGCUCAACCUUUGAAAGCCGGUGGAUACUGGAUGGCUAGAGUACGGAAGAGGCGAGUGGAAUUCCUGGUGUAGCGGUGGAAUGCGCAGAUAUCAGGAGGAACACCAAUAGCGAAGGCAGCUCGCUGGGACGUUACUGACACUGAGGCGCGAAAGCGUGGGGAGCGAACAGG
rnacentral:rRNA from 1 species